rnacentral:tRNA from 1 species
ACCCGGUUAGCUCAGUCGGUAGAGCAUCAGACUUUUAACCUGAGGGUCAUGGGUUCAAGUCCUAUACUGGGCG